UACGGUAACCGUAGAACCCAUCGCCAUUGCAGAUGGCUUUCUUCGAUUACCGUGAC
rnacentral:pre_miRNA from 1 species